rnacentral:lncRNA from 1 species
GGAAAACUUAACAUUCUUUUUCUUCUACCCCUGGGGAGCACCCGUCCCUAGAAUAAGUACCCCUGAACCAACCAAUCACGGAUAGUCAUGUGGCGAAUGCGGAUAGGUACACGUAAGAGGGGGCAGAGCAUCAGACACAUCACAGCCAAAUAAGGAGUUGUUUAUCAUAAAGAGCUCUCGCCGUCGGGAUGGCGGAAGGCGGAAACCAGCGCCAUCUUUAAGGCGCGGCACACGCAGCUCUCCACAGGUGACCUGAAAUGAAGGGAAAGUUAGGUCGAGUAACAGAAAAGUGGGAAAGCCUGAACAAAGAACAUGAAGCAUACUUGGGGGAGAAAACCAAAAGUGGGAAAAGAAGGUCAGGGAGUUUACCGUAUGCUUUAAUAUGACUCCAAGUUCUCAGAAAAAGGCAGUUUACAUGGAGCAGGCGUGGUGGCACAUGCCUAUAAUCCCAGCACUCAGGAGGCUGAGGCAGGAGGACCACCGUGAGUUCAAGAUCAGCCUGGCUCUGUCUCAAAAAGGGGGGCGGUUUUCCUAAGCAACUGCUCCAACGUAGGUGAAAAGCGGAAGCCCUGUAUAACAGGAAGAGCCUACCAUGCCUCUUGGAAGCAGUGGCAUUUCAAGGUCCUGCUAAGUGACCAGGCUGCCCAGGCUGGGCCUGAACUUGCAACCCUCCUGCCUCAGCCUCCCAUGGUGCCACCAUGCUCAGCUCAAAGAAUUAUUUUAAGGAUCCAGGAAAUGUAAUUAACUCAAUAAAUAUUUAAUAAGCAC